AGGGAAUCUUCCGCAAUGGACGAAAGUCUGAUGGAGCAACGCCGCGUGAACGAUGAAGGUCUUCGGAUUGUAAAGUUCUGUUGUCAGGGACGAACAAGUACCGUUCGAACAGGGCGGUACCUUGACGGUACCUGACGAGAAAGCCACGGCUAACUACGUGCCAGCAGCCGCGGUAAUACGUAGGUGGCAAGCGUUGUCCGGAUUUAUUGGGCGUAAAGCGCGCGCAGGCGGCUAUGUAAGUCGGGUGUGAAAGCCCGGGGCUCAACCCCGGUUCGCAUCGGAAACUGUGUAGCUUGAGUGCAGAAGAGGAAAGCGGUAUUCCACGUGUAGCGGUGAAAUGCGUAGAGAUGUGGAGGAACACCAGUGGCGAAGGCGGCUUUCUGGUCUGUAACUGACGCUGAGGCGCGAAAGCGUGGGGAGCAAAC
rnacentral:rRNA from 1 species